rnacentral:lncRNA from 1 species
CUGGGACCAGCCACAUUUCAAGUCCCAAAAUGCUCAUGUGGAUACUGCUACCAUAUUGUACAGCCAAGGGUCUACGGUAUUAGCAAACACUUUUAUGGGUGCAAGUGAACAUAUUUUUCAGUAAUUGGAAGGAUAUUUUUUGCAGGUGUCUUAGUUUGGGUUCCCACAGCAGCAGACUUGAGACAGGAUUAGAUUGCAAGUAGUUUAUUUGGAGGUGAUCCCAGAAAACACUUGUAGGGAGUAGAGAAGUAAGACAGAAGAGGGAAGGAAGCCAAUACAAGGGGAUUUCAAAAAGUUCAUGGAAUCACAACCAGUUACAGAUUUCUUUGCUCCUUUUCCACUCCCACUGCUUCACUUGACUAGCCUAAAAAAAAAAAAAAAAGUUCAUGAAAAAAAUGGACUUAACAGAUAAAAAUAAAAAAUAUAAACUUUAUUUCUCAGUGUAAGCUCCAUCAAGUUUGAGACACCUUUGUAAGCAAUGAUACCAGUCAUUAGUCCAUCCCUAAAGAAUUGAGAGUCCUGGCCGGGUGUGGUGGCUCACGCCUGUAAUCCUAGCACUUUGGGAGGCUGAGGCGGGUGGAUCACCUGAGGUUGGGAGUUUGAGACCAGUCUGACCAACAUGGAGAAACUCCGUCUCUACUAAAAAUACAAAAUUAACUGAG